UGGGGGAUAUUGCACAAUGGGCGAAAGCCUGAUGCAGCGACGCCGCGUGGGGGAUGAAGGCUUUCGGGUUGUAAACCUCUUUCGCUAUCGAACAAGGCCCGCUUAGGGUGGGUUGAGGGUAGGUGGAGAAGAAGCGCCGGCUAACUACGUGCCAGCAGCCGCGGUAAUACGUAGGGCGCGAGCGUUGUCCGGAAUUAUUGGGCGUAAAGGGCUUGUAGGCGGCUUGUUGCGCCUGCUGUGAAAACGCGGGGCUUAACUUCGGGCGUGCAGUGGGGACGGGCAGGCUUGAGUGUGGUAGGGGUGACUGGAAUUCCAGGUGUAGCGGUGGAAUGCGCAGAUAUCUGGAGGAACACCGAUGGCGAAGGCAGGUCACUGGGCCAUUACUGACGCUGAGGAGCGAAAGCAUGGGUAGCGAACAGG
rnacentral:rRNA from 1 species